GUUCUGGUGGACAAUUUCCAGUCUGGUGUCUGCAUUUGGAGAGAUUCUACAGCACAUGCAUGAAUGAAUGGAAUAUCUGCUGAGGAGACUGGAAUGAGGAAGGAGUUCAUUAAGGCUGACUGUCUCUGAAAAGCUAAGUUCCUGAGAUUCCUGCACUAAGCCCCAGAAGACUGAAACAAACCAAACUGCUAAACGUCACUUCAUCAUGCUAAAUGUCACGUAACCAUCAUGCUAAAUGUCACGUAAUCAAAUGGAAAUUUUAAAGAAACAGCCUACUCAAUAUGAAGACAAUGAGAAUGAAGAUCUUGAUGAAUUAGUCACUUUCACUUAAUUAAUAGUAAAUAUAGUUUAUCUUAUGAUUUUCUUAAUAACAUUUUCUUUUCUCUAGCUUACUUUAUUGUAAGAAUACU
rnacentral:lncRNA from 1 species